rnacentral:misc_RNA from 1 species
GAAAUCAUGUGGUGUAAGCAUUAGUCAGUUUUAACUAAAGAACCAAAUUGAACAGAUUUAAUUUAUUUUUUGGUUUGAUCGAUUCGGUUUUCAUAAUCAUUUUUAAAAAAUUUCAUUUUUGGGUUUGGCUUGGUUAGGUUAAUUUAGUAAAAACUAGAACUAACUAAACCGAACCGAUGUUCACAGUAUGCUAUGUCGUUGUUAAGU